UACGAAGGGGGCUAGCGUUGUUCGGAAUUACUGGGCGUAAAGGGCGCGUAGGCGGCGUGACAAGUCACUUGUGAAAUCUCUGAGCUUAACUCAGAACGGCCAAGUGAAACUGUUGUGCUAGAGUGCAGAAGGGGCAAUCGGAAUUCUUGGUGUAGCGGUGAAAUGCGUAGAUAUCUGGAGGAAUACCGGUGGCGAAGGCGGCGUUCUGGACCAUUACUGACACUGAAUCGCGAAAGCUAGGGGAGCAAACGGG
rnacentral:rRNA from 1 species